rnacentral:rRNA from 1 species
UUCGCAAUGCCCGAAAGGGUGACGAAGCGACGCCGCGUGCGGGAAGAAGGCCUUCGGGUUGUAAACCGCUGUCGGGAGUUAAGAAAUGUAAGGAUGUUAAUAGCAUCUUUGCUUGACUAAGGCUCCGGAGGAAGCCACGGCUAACUCUGUGCCAGCAGCCGCGGUAAUACAGAGGCGGCAAGCGUUGUUCGGAAUUAUUGGGCGUAAAGAGCACGUAGGCGGCUAUGUAAGUCGGUUGUGAGAGCCUUCCGCUCAACGGGAGAACAGCAUCCGAUACUGCAUGGCUUGAGUGCGGGAGGGGAGAGUGGAACUUCUGGUGGAGCGGUGAAAUGCGUAGAUAUCAGAAGGAACGCCGGCGGCGAAAGCGGCUCUCUGGCCCAUAACUGACGCUGAGUGUGCGAAAGCUAGGGGAGCAAACGGGAUUAGAUACCCCGGUAGUCCUAGCCGUAAACGAUGGGCACUAAGUAGAGGGGUUUU